rnacentral:rRNA from 1 species
CCUACGGGAGGCAGCAGUGGGGAAUAUUGGACAAUGGGGGGAACCCUGAUCCAGCGACGCCGCGUGAGUGAAGAAGUAUUUCGGUAUGUAAAGCUCUAUCAGCAGGGAAGAAAGAAAUGACGGUACCUGACUAAGAAGCCCCGGCUAACUACGUGCCAGCAGCCGCGGUAAUACGUAGGGGCAAGCGUUAUCCGGAUUUACUGGGUGUAAAGGGAGCGUAGACGGCGAUGCAAGUCUGAAGUGAAAGGCGGGGGACCAACCCCCGGACUGCUUUGGAAACUGUAUGGAGGGAGUGCAGGAGAGGUAAGUGGAAUGCCUAGUGUAGCGGUGAAAUGCGUAGAUAUUAGGAGGAACACCAGUGGCGAAGGCGGCUUACUGGACUGUAACUGACGUUGAGGCUCGAAAGCGUGGGGAGCAAACAGGAUUAGAUACCCCGGUAGUC